ACUGAAUAGAUACCCAGGUAGUCCAUGCCGUAAACUAUGGAUACUAGCUGCUGGGGGUAUCGACCCCUCCAGUAGCGAAAGCUAACGCGUUAAGUAUCCCGCCUGUGGAGUACGAUCGCAAGAUUAAAACAUAAAGGAAUUGACGGGGACCCGCACAAGCGGUGGAGCGUGUUCUUUAAUUCGAUGCUAAACGAAGAACCUUACCAGGGCUUGACAUCCCUUGAAUUACUCCGAAAGGAGUGAGUGCUUUAUUGAGCAAGGUGACAGGUGAUGCAUGGCCGUCGUCAGCUCGUGUCGUGAGAUGUUUGGUUAAAGUCCAUCAACGAGCGCAACCCUUAUACUUAGUUGUAUUUUUCUAGGUAGACUGCCCCGGUAACGGGGAGAAGGGGGGGAUGAUGUCAGGUCAGUAUUUCCCUUACGUCCUGGGCUAGAAACGCGCUACAAUGGCCGGUACAAUGCGGAGCUAAAAUCGCGAGAUGGAGCAAAAUCGCAUCAAAGCCGGUCCCAAUUCGGAUUGUAGGCUGAAACUCGCCUGCAUGAAGUC
rnacentral:rRNA from 1 species